ensembl:rRNA 5S_rRNA 5S ribosomal RNA
CCAUAUGGCCAUACCACUCUGAACCCACCUGAUCUCAUCUGAUCUCAGAAACUAAGCAGAGUCAGGCCUGGUUAGUACUUGGAUGGGAGGAAUGCUGUCAUAAUUUAGA